GAAAUUUCUGUGCUUGGGGGUGCAGCAUCCUUUAGAGGCCGGCCUUCAAUGUGUCGAGUUCUCAUUGGAUAAUUGGCAGAGAGGCAGCCAUAUUGUUCUGCAUAUAAAGGCUGUUUUUCAUGCAGUCUGUAAUUACCUUGAAGAAGGUCCUGUGCUGCAAUAUGUUGGUUGUGUUAAGGGCAGACUUCUCUUGUAAGUCAGUUAAUUUAAGCAGGUUAUGUUUCAUGUUUAGUUCUUUGGUUACUAAAGCACCUGGUUAACUGGUGAAGUUGCAACAACAGACUCUUUCUACAAUGUGGUGGCUGCACUCAAAGGCCUCAGCUGAGCAGAACAGAACAGCAUUUUGCAUUUCUAAAGGUAAUUGAAAAUUGCAAGUCAGCACUGUCUGAUAAAACGGUCCACAGCAGCAAUGACAUCAUCGUCGCUGUCAAAAUGGCGGCCACUGAGCUUCAUUUUCAUCUUGGAGAAGAGUCCACUCAGAGAGCAGCAGGCUGGUCGAUGGUUCACUCGGACUGAUGGGUAAUAGCAUUAUCCUGCGUGGGCCAGGAUUGGCAGACACCAGCGGACAGAGCCAUCCCCACCAUUGAUCGACUCUCUCCUCCAGGGCCACUCUGAUGCUAGCCUCCAUCCAGUCUUUCAUUUGUUUAUGAAAUAUUGAUAUUGGCUGCUAUCUCCUUUUGGAGAUGAGGAGAUCCAGCUUGAUGGAAAUGGAGAGCGUGCAGGGAUGCUGGACAAAGGUUUCAUGAACUGAAAGUUGUAUUUUCUUGGGGAAUGUAAUCAGUUUAUCGUUUCCAGAAUUACAUAAUGGCGGCUUUUGUUGUUUGUGCCAUAUUUCCUCUUUUAAAAAUAAAAUUACAGUAUUAAGCCACAGCCUGAAGUCCCUGGCAGAGAAAAUGGAAACACACACUGUACCUGCUUCCUAUAAAUGUUUUUUUUUUUUUUUUUCGGUAAAAAUCAGAACCGGGGUGAUUAAUAGUCUCAUGUGACUCUCACAUACUGGGAUCACUGGGAUUUUCACUGUUUAAAAAAAGCACCAAAAUGAUUUCUAAGUGAAUGACCAGGAAUAUAAAACAGCAAUAAAAGCAGCUUAGAU